rnacentral:rRNA from 1 species
AGGUGAAAGCUGAGCGACCCUUCGGGGAGUCUGCACAGGUGCUGCAUGGCUGUCGUCAGCUCGUGCCGUGAGGUGUUAGGUUAAGUCCUGUAACGAGCGCAACCCUCGUCGUUAGUUACAAGUGUCUAACGAGACCGCCGGUGAUAAGCCGGAGGAAGGUGGGGAUGACGUCAAGUCAGCAUGGCCUUUAUAUCCUGGGCUACACACACGCUACAAUGGCCGGUACAAUGGGCUGCGAAACCGCGAGGUGGAGCCAAUCCCGCAAAGCCGGUCUCAGUUCGGAUGACAGGCUGCAACUCGCCUGUCUGAAGUCGGAGUUGCUAGUAGCCGCGCGUCAGCAUAGUGCGGUGAAUACGUUCCCGGGCCUUGUACACACCGCCCGUCACGUCAUGGAAGUUGGCAACGCCUGAAGCCGGUGGACUAACUCGCAAGAGAGGUAGCCGUUCAAGGUGGGGUCGGUAACUGGGACGAAGUCGUAACAAGGUAGCUGUAGCGGAAGC